GACAGAGGGUGCAAACGUUGUUCGGAUUUACUGGGCGUAAAGCGCGUGUAGGCGGCUUUGCAAGUCGGAUGUGAAAGCCCACGGCUCAACCGUGGAAGUGCAUCCGGAACUGCAUGGCUGGAGUCCCGGAGAGGAAGGUGGAAUGCUUGGUGUAGAGGUGAAAUUCGUAGAUAUUAGGAAGAACACCGGUGGCGAAGGCGGCCCACUGGCUCGAUACUGACGCUGAGGUGCGAAAGCGUGGGGAGCAAACAGG
rnacentral:rRNA from 1 species